UACCAUAGCUCUGCAUCAUGAAAAAUCGAGCGAUAAUUUCAUGGGCGCUCUUGCUGAUGAUUAUGGCCAUUGCUUUCGUCGUUAAAGGAGAUCAUAUGAACUUUAUUCACGAAGACCAUAGUAAAGUAAGUGGAGAAGGCGAGCAGCAGCAGAAAAGAAUUGUUGUUGUUGUUCAUCAGAAAAGAGGAGCUUCUGCCGGAAACUCCGAUAUUUCGAAGAAGCCCCCGAACCGAAGUGGAUCGACUAUUAUUAAUAAUAAUUUGACAUCAACUUCUUUUUUUCUAGUUAUCUUUUUCUCUUUCUCUCUGUGUGUGUUUCAGUGUGUGUAUGGUUAUUAGUUCCUUCUGUAUCACUAGGUUGAAUUUGUGGAUCACUUUUCAAUCUAAAGUGUAUGUGUAACUUUUAUUUCGGUCACUAGUUAAUGAAAUUUUUGCAGGUUUCCGAGUUUUUUUGCUUCUUU